rnacentral:rRNA from 1 species
CUGGUUGAUCCUGCCAGUAGUCAUAMGCUUGUCUCAAAAAUUAAGCCAUGCAUGUCUAAGUAUAAGCAAUUUAUACAGUGAAACUGCGAAUGGCUCAUUAAAUCAGUUAUCGUUUAUUUGAUAGUACCUUACUACUUGGAUAACCGUGGUAAUUCUAGAGCUAAUACAUGCUUAAAAUCCCGACUGUUUGGAAGGGAUGUAUUUAUUAGAUAAAAAAUCAAUGUCUUCGGACCCUUUGAUGAUUCAUAAUAACUUUUCGAAUCGCAUGGCCUUGUGCUGGCGAUGGUUCAUUCAAAUUUCUGCCCUAUCAACUUUCGAUGGUAGGAUAGUGGCCUACCAUGGUUUCAACGGGUAACGGGGAAUAAGGGUUCGAUUCCGGAGAGGGAGCCUGAGAAACGGCUACCACAUCCAAGGAAGGCAGCAGGCGCGCAAAUUACCCAAUCCCGACACGGGGAGGUAGUGACAAUAAAUAACGAUACAGGGCCCUUUCGGGUCUUGUAAUUGGAAUGAGUACAAUGUAAAUACCUUAACGAGGAACAAUUGGAGGGCAAGUCUGGU